rnacentral:rRNA from 1 species
AGAGUUUGAUCAUGGCUCAGAUUGAACGCUGGCGGCAUGCCUUACACAUGCAAGUCGAACGGCAGCACGGGGGCAACCCUGGUGGCGAGUGGCGAACGGGUGAGUAAUACAUCGGAACGUGUCCUGUAGUGGGGGAUAGCCCGGCGAAAGCCGGAUUAAUACCGCAUACGCUCUACGGAGGAAAGGGGGGGAUCUUAGGACCUCCCGCUACAGGGGCGGCCGAUGGCAGAUUAGCUAGUUGGUGGGGUAAAGGCCUACCAAGGCGACGAUCUGUAGCUGGUCUGAGAGGACGACCAGCCACACUGGGACUGAGACACGGCCCAGACUCCUACGGGAGGCAGCAGUGGGGAAUUUUGGACAAUGGGCGCAAGCCUGAUCCAGCAAUGCCGCGUGUGUGAAGAAGGCCUUCGGGUUGUAAAGCACUUUUGUCCGGAAAGAAAACGUCGUGGUUAAUACCCGUGGCGGAUGACGGUACCGGAAGAAUAAGCACCGGCUAACUACGUGCCAGCAGCCGCGGUAAUACGUAGGGUGCAAGCGUUAAUCGGAAUUACUGGGCGUAAAGCGUGCGCAGGCGGUCCGCUAAGACAGAUGUGAAAUCCCCGGGCUUAACCUGGGAACUGCAUUUGUGACUGGCGGGCUAGAGUAUGGCAGAGGGGGGUAGAAUUCCACGUAGCAGUGAAAUGCGUAGAGAUGUGGAGGAAUACCGAUGGCGAAGGCAGCCCCCUGGGCCAAUACUGACGCUCAUGCACGAAAGCGUGGGGAGCAAACAGGAUUAGAUACCCCAGUAGUCC